rnacentral:hammerhead_ribozyme from 1 species
AUCUAGCUAAGGAGUCACAAAUAGGACGAAAUGUGCAUCCUGGAU